CAUAACGUUAUUUUAUUCACAUAUACAAAGUGGUAUGACAAAAAAGCACGAUGCCAAAUCGGGUUUUUUUUCUGUUAGUUGCGAAUGUAUUCGUUAUAGUAGUUAAUUUGCUAGUCCACGGAUGUUCCCGCCGAAAUUGGACUUCGUUAUUAUGAAUAUUAAUAAAUUAAUAUGAGGUGUGUUUUUAUCAACUUAACCACUUGGUUGUUUUUGCUUCAGAAAAGCAACUAGUUAUAAAUGUAAGCGCUUUUUUGGACAACUUCGGUGAAAAGUGUUGAUUUCGUAGUUCAGUCAGCGUAACUUGUAUCCGAGAGGUCUUACAGGCGCCACAGACACCUAUCAGCCUUUUGUAAGGAGGAGCAGCUCGAGUGCGGUGCGGUCAGUAGCCCUUCAAAUUAGAAAAGUGAGGAUGAUCUUGUCAAUGCUGAGAUUUUCAUGCAUCAGCAGCCACUACAUCUGGAUCAGAUUGAACAAGAAACAGACAGCAAGGGUUGUCAGAUCAGAAACAGAAUGACACACAAACACAAGAAACUUCACAGAUAAACAUGCAAUUUGAAGACGUGUGAUAAAAUACAGAGAGGUGAAGUAGUGUGUCUUUCCAGAUGCCCAAAUCAUUCCCCCUUAAAAGAUGAGCCUGAAGAGGAGAUUUGGGAAGAUGCUGUUUCAUAAGUCGCUUUGCCAGAUCACCUGUGGUCGGGAUGUCUGCUAACAAGAUGCCUUGCUGGUCUGAGCGAGUUUAAAGUCUUACACAGACAGUCCAGAAGUUCUGAAGUCCAUCUUCGAUUUCAUUGGACGCUUUAAGGUGUAGAAACAUCUCAGCAACCUCAAGAGAAAUUGGAGGCAACUGAGCUAAAUUGCAGAUGUUGUUGCAAAGGGUCUGAAUAUGUAUAAUAUGCUGUCAUCGUAUUAAGUACAGCAUGAGCCAGAAUAGAUGGGUGGUGGUGGCCAUAAGAAGACUGUCAACUAAACCAACAACAAAAUUAAUAUUUGC